rnacentral:rRNA from 1 species
UACAGAGGGUGCAAACGUUGUUCGGAAUUACUGGGCGUAAAGCGUGUGUAGGCGGCCUCGUAGGUCGGAUGUGAAAGCUCUCGGCUCAACCGGGAAAGUGCAUUCGAAACCACAAGGCUUGAGUGUCGGAGAGGAAGGCGGAAUUGUCGGUGUAGAGGUGAAAUUCGUAGAUAUCGACAGGAACACCUGCGGCGAAAGCGGCCUUCUGGACGAACACUGACGCUGAGACGAACGAAAGCAGUGGGGCAACAGG